rnacentral:rRNA from 1 species
UACGGGGGGGGCAAGCGUUGUUCGGAAUUACUGGGCGUAAAGGGCUCGUAGGCGGCCAACUAAGUCAGACGUGAAAUCCCUCGGCUUAACCGGGGAACUGCAUCUGAUACUGGAUGGCUUGAGAUUGGGAGAGGGAUGCGGAAUUCCAGGUGUAGCGGUGAAAUGCGUAGAUAUCUGGAGGAACACCGGUGGCGAAGGCGGCAUCCUGGACCAACACUGACGCUGAGGCACGAAAGCGUGGGGAGCAAACAGG